rnacentral:rRNA from 1 species
UGGGAUGACGUCAAAUCAUCAUGCCCCUUAUGUUCUGGGCUACACACGUGCUACAAUGGCCGGUACAGACGGACGCAAAGCCGCGAGGUGGAGCAAAUCCUAAAAAGCCGGUCUCAGUUCGGAUUGCAGGCUGCAAUUCGCCUGCAUGAAGUCGGAAUCGCUAGUAAUCGCGGAUCAGCAUGCCGCGGUGAGUACGUUCCCGGGCCUU